CUAGAAAAAUAAGUCUACGCUAAAUCACUGAAUCAUUUUUUCCCCUUAGAUCUAAACUGCAGAGGUAGAAAGCAGAAAACUUGGGAAAUGACAGUAGUGGCUCAAAUCAGCCUUUUCCUAUCAAACCACUUAGUGAAUCAAAAAACCGCUUGUUGGACAGUGAAUCUCAGUGGCUGGAGAAUGGAGCUGAAGAAGGCAUCAUCAAAUCAG
rnacentral:sRNA from 1 species